rnacentral:lncRNA from 1 species
CAAUUAUAGGCAUAAUUCAUUUUCUGCUGAAUGUAUAGCAAACUGGUGAAUGCGAUCUGGCGAUCUUUUUUUCCCUGAAUUUCUGCAUGUAUAGAAGGAUUUCAUGUCUGCAGAUAAUGUAUUACAAGAGGCUGUUGUGUGCCAGUGGACAAGCUGGUGAGAAGCUGAACACUAAUAGCUUGAAUCCUGGUGAAUGGACUGCCUGCAUAAGCGUCGUCAUGAUUUUUCCACGUGUAAUAUGAAUGCAAGCCAGUUUG